GCAGCUUGUGGGGCCAUCGCGAGUGCAGCUGGGAGGCUGCUGGAUGUCCGGUGAGAGCUGAGGCAGCUGCGGGCAGGGAGGGAAGCAAACGUUUUCCAGAAACAAUCAGAGGUCAAACCGAGAGCAUCUGGCAGCUGUAGCAGCUCUGUCCAUCCCAUCCCUCUACCUCCUCCUCCCAGGGAGCUUUCCCUGCCGCCAGCGGCACCGCACCUCUGCCAUUGCCCCACCCAUCGCUGCUGGGGCCCGCUGAUUGCGAGCCCUGGGGAAUCCCUGCCCCACCCUGGGGGCUCCCUUAAAUAGUCACAGAGGGGGUGGGGGCCGUGACCCUCCAGCUCACUUGCCCCUGAUCAGGACCCACAAGGGAUGACCCACCACCACGUCACGGUCACUGAACCCUCGUCUAGGGUCACCCUCUGGGGAACCCUCACUAAGGACAGUGACUUCAGAUUUGGGGCUAAGACGGGAGGAGACGGAAGGCCAAGUCCUUGCACAAGGUUUUGGCUUGCGCAAGGGUGGCCGGUCUGGGGUGUACUGGACAGGGAGCCCUCGCUGGGGGUGUGAGGGGGACAGUUUCCUUGGGGACAGGUUGUUAUCCUGGUUUCAUGUUGCCAAAAGUGCACCUGGGCAGCGACUGGGCUGAGCACACAUGCAGUUCUCCAUCCAGACAAAAGGCCCCCGGCCCAGCGCCGGUCCCCCCCUAGCUGCACGGCGGGGCUGGCCUUGGCUGGGUGCAGCUGCGGCGGAGGGAGACAUCUGCACGGGGCAGAGGGGCCAGAUCAGGGCCUUCCUGGCAAGUGCCUCCCAGGGGACAAGGCUGGUCCCAGAAAGUGUGAGUCACAAGCAAAGCACCCCCUCCCUGGCCAGGGCAGGAGGUGCCCCCUCCGGGGACUUGCCCCAGAGGGGAGCAUCUCCAGGCAUCCUCUGGCCUGGUGACCCCUCCUCCCAUCUCUGCCUCGACCCCAGCAGCUUGUAAACCCUUCAGGGCCCAGAGGACACGCCUCAUGCGACACAUGGGGAGGGCCGGGCUCGGAAAGAGAAGCGGCUUGCCGGGGUCGCUCAGCAACAGCGAGCCUCAGCCUGGCUCCCUGACCCCCUCCUGCCCCGCCAGGCUGAUGCCGGCUUUCCUAGGUGGGAAUUCCCCGCCGCCCUGCCCCGCACCCUGUGGAGUCAUCUCGGCGUGUGGGUGCCAGUCAUCCAGUCUUCCUGGCACAGCACGGACAGGUUCUUUGGCCCUUAUUAGUACUGACAGCCAAAUCCAUACAGCGUCUGCCCCAUGCCUGGCCUGCCGCUGAACACUUGGCCCACAUCGCUGUGUGGAGGAGCCCUGGUUUUCAGAUGAGGAGACCGAAGCCCAGAGAGGGCUGCUGGAAUGUCCCAACGUGGCGGCUGGCUUCUGUCAGGGCAAGCGAUCCACGAACCAGCAGAGGGGAGCCGCAGUGUCAUUAAUGAUGUAGCCUCAGAAGAUGCACUUCCACCAUCUCCUCAUCGCGUGGGUCAGCCGCCAUUGACGUGGGAGAGGACCACAGCGGGGCACGAGCACGAGGAGGUGACAAUGGCAUGUCAUCUUGGAGGCUGUUUUCCACGCUGACUGUCCUACACCUCGCUUAUUUCUCUGCAUCACAGUCUCCAGACUGGUUCUAUAUCAAUAUACAUAGAAUGGCCUUAUUUUUUUUAACUGCACAGUUUUCCACUGCGCAGGGGCACCAUGAUUUUUUUUACCCAGAUCUCUAUCGAUAGACCCACGGGUCACUCCUGAUCAAUUGCUACCACAAUCCCAGCUGCAAUGACUGUCUUUGCGUGGGCUUGUUUCCCAUAUCGGGCAGAGUAUUACUCAGGAGUGGAAUGGCUAAGUCAAGGCGGGUGGCGCUUUGAAAACACAGCCAAAACGUGUUCGGCACUGUGAAUAUCUCCUCCCUGUGAGUUUGAGUGGACUUUUGAUGAAUUCAACCAAGAGAGUACUGCAGAAGUGAUGCCGUGUGCUGUCCAAGCCUGGGUCAUAAAAGGCCAUGCGGUUCCACCUUGUCUGCUAGGAACACUUGCUCUUGGAGCCCUGACCUGCCACGCAAGAAGUCUGACACCCGUGGAGGCUGCCAUGCUGGGAGGAAGCCCAAGACACACAAAGAGGCCCGCCUUUUACAGAGAAGGAAACUAAAGCUCAGAGAGGUUCAGCAACUUGCCCAAGGCCUCACAGCAGGUAACUGAAAGAUCUGGGUCUUUCUGCCUCCAGACCCACUCUCCUCGUGGGCUGUCUGCUAAAGGAGGGAAGCAGCUCACUGUGCUGAACUCACAGGCUCAACCGUAAAUUUCUAGACGUAAUGAACACACUGGGUUAGAUCAGACGUUCCAUGCCUAGGGCCUCUGGGAGCUAUUUUUGGCAAAAACUAAUUGGAAAUUAUACACCUACUCUCCCUGCCAAGGUCAUGUAGGCAGGGAGGAAUGUGUAAGCUCUCCACUCUUGCCAGGAAUUCUGUUCAUUGAGAAUCUCCACUGGCCAGAGGCUCUUACAGUUAACUACCCGGCUGGUUGGCAAACAAAUGAAGCUAUUAUAUUACUUCCUUCAGUAGGAGGAAAGCUGUCUAAACGCGGAAUUCUGUCAAAACCCUUCCUGCCGGGGGCUCCCCCCUACUGGUGAUGGAUGGUAUUGCAACUCAGCUCUAUUAGACAAAGGAGGCGAGAGCGGCGUAUACGUGGGGCAGUCGCUGGCGCUGCGGACACACUUCAAGGAAGGCUCAGCUAAGAGGCCAUGUUGCAUGAUGGUUAAACCUGCAGUCUGAGGAGUCGGAUGAUCUGAGUUCAAAUCUCUGCCACAUAUUAGUCACGGUCCAGUCAGGAAAACAGAAACCAUACCACGUAUUUCUUUUUUUUUUUUUUUUUUUA